AUUGAACGCUGGCGGCAGGCCUAACACAUGCAAGUCGAGCGGAGCGGCGGACGGGUGUGUAAUGCCUAGGAAUCUGCCUGGUUGUGGGGGAUAACGUCCGGAAACGGGCGCUAAUACCGCAUACUAUCAGAUUAGCCUAGGUCGGAUUAGCUUGUUGGUGGGGUAACGGCCUACCAAGGCGACGAUCCGUUACUGGUCUGAGAGGAUGAUCAGUCACACUGGAACUGAGAAACGGUCCAGACUAAUACGGGAGGCAGCAGUGGGGAAUAUUGGACAAUGGGCGAAAGCAUGAUCCAGCCAUGCAGCGUGUGUGAAGAAGGUCUGCGGAUUGGAAUGCAAUUUAAGUUGGGAGGCGUUACCAACAGAAUAAGCACCGGCUAACUUCGUGCCAGCAGCCGCGGUAAUUC
rnacentral:rRNA from 1 species